rnacentral:rRNA from 1 species
GACGAACGCUGGCGGCGUGCUUAACACAUGCAAGUCGAACGGAAAGGCCCUGCUUUUGUGGGGUGCUCGAGUGGCGAACGGGUGAGUAACACGUGAGUAACCUGCCCUUGACUUUGGGAUAACUUCAGGAAACUGGGGCUAAUACCGGAUAGGAGCUCCUGCUGCAUGGUGGGGGUUGGAAAGUUUCGGCGGUUGGGGAUGGACUCGCGGCUUAUCAGCUUGUUGGUGGGGUGGUGGCUUACCAAGGCUUUGACGGGUAGCCGGCCUGAGAGGGUGACCGGCAACAUUGGGACUGAGAUACGGCCCAGACUCCUACGGGAGGCAGCAGUGGGGAAUAUUGCACAAUGGGCGGAAGCCUGAUGCAGCAACGCAGCGUGCGGGAUGACGGCCUUCGGGUUGUAAACCGCUUUCGCCUGUGACGAAGCGUGAGUGACGGUAAUGGGUAAAGAAGCACCGGCUAACUACGUG